GAUGGGGAGAAGACAUUGUGUCUUCGAGUCGUUGAUUUCACACUGCCGAGAAAAGCCUCUAGAUAGAAAAUAGGUGCCCGUACCGCAAACCGACACAGGUAGUCAAGAUGAGAAUUCUAAGGUGAGCGAGCGAACUCUCGUUAAGGAACUCGGCAAAAUGACCCCGUAACUUCGGGAGAAGGGGUGCUCUUUAGGGUUAACGCCCAGAAGAGCCGCAGUGAAUAGGCCCAAGCGACUGUUUAUCAAAAACACAGGUCUCUGCUAAACCGUAAGGUGAUGUAUAGGGGCUGACGCCUGCCCGGUGCUGGAAGGUUAAGAGGAGUGGUUAGCUUCUGCGAAGCUACGAAUCGAAGCCCCAGUAAACGGCGGCCGUAACUAUAACGGUCCUAAGGUAGCGAAAUUCCUUGUCGGGUAAGUUCCGACCCGCACGAAAGGCGUAACGAUUUGGGCACUGUCUCAACGAGAGACUCGGUGAAAUCAUAGUACCUGUGAAGAUGCAGGUUACCCGCGACAGGACGGAAAGACCCCGUGGAGCUUUACUGUAGCCUGAUAUUGAAAUUCGGCACAGCUUGUACAGGAUAGGUAGGAGCCUUUGAAACGUGAGCGCUAGCUUACGUGGAGGCGCUGGUGGGAUACUACCCUAGCUGUGUUGGCUUUCUAACCCGCACCACUUAUCGUGGUGGGAGACAGUGUCAGGCGGGCAGUUUGACUGGGGCGGUCGCCUCCUAAAAGGUAACGGAGGCGCUCAAAGGUUCCCUCAGAAUGGUUGGAAAUCAUUCAUAGAGUGUAAAGGCAUAAGGGAGCUUGACUGCGAGACCUACAAGUCGAGCAGGGUCGAAAGACGGACUUAGUGAUCCGGUGGUUCCGCAUGGAAGGGCCAUCGCUCAACGGAUAAAAGCUACCCCGGGGAUAACAGGCUUAUCUCCCCCAAGAGUUCACAUCGACGGGGAGGUUUGGCACCUCGAUGUCGGCUCAUCGCAUCCUGGGGCUGUAGUCGGUCCCAAGGGUUGGGCUGUUCGCCCAUUAAAGCGGUACGCGAGCUGGGUUCAGAACGUCGU
rnacentral:rRNA from 1 species